rnacentral:sRNA from 1 species
GAGAAGACAAGAGAGA